rnacentral:sRNA from 1 species
UCGUUAGCCUGUUGAGGGCAGAUAAAGUGGAUAUGAGUGUCGAAUCCUCCAGCUGUCACAAUCUUGUUCUCUCCUGCAAUCACAUCCGUCGACGAGCCGAUUACCAUAUUCGGAUUGACGCCGUCCAUAACAUCGGGGUUUCCAGAUUUGCCAAUUCCCACGAUUAUCCCGUCCUUGAUUCCAAUGUCUGCCUUGUAGAUACCACUCCAGUCGAUGAUGACGGCGUUUGUAACCACAGUGUCGAGACACUCCUUUGCUGACUUUCCCGACGCCUGUCCCAUGCCUUCUCGA